CUGACUGAGAGGAGAAGAGAGCUCUGCCUUGAGGACAGCGGAAAGGGGAAGAGAGCUCCACCAUGCUGGGGUGGGCGAGAUAAAGGGACACUCAGAGAGAUCGUCUUCCUCACCCAAACUCAUGGGUCUACACAGCGGCUGUAUGAAGAGACUACCAGACAGCCAACACAACAUGGCCAUCCAAUCAAUGUCCCUGAUUCCAGGUCAGUUGAAGAGGCCAACACAACAUGGCCAUCCAAUCAAUGUCCCUGAUUCCAGGUCAGUUGAAGAGGCCAACACAACAUGGCCAUCCAAUCAAUGUCCCUGAUUCCAGGUCAGUUGAAGAGGCCAACACAACAUGGCCAUCCAAUCAAUGUCCCUGAUUCCAGGUCAGUUGAAGAGGCCAACACAACAUGGCCAUCCAAUCAAUGUCCCUGAUUCCAGGUCAGUUGAAGAGGCCAACACAACAUGGCCAUCCAAUCAAUGUCCCUGAUUCCAGGUCAGUUGAAGAGGCCAACACAACAUGGCCAUCCAAUCAAUGUCCCUGAUUCCAGGUCAGUUGAAGAGGCCAACACAACAUGGCCAUCCAAUCAAUGUCCCUGAUUCCAGGUCAGUUGAAGAGGCCAACACAACAUGGCCAUCCAAUCAAUGUCCCUGAUUCCAGGUCAGUUGAAGAGGCCAACACAACAUGGCCAUCCAAUCAAUGUCCCUGAUUCCAGGUCAGUUGAAGAGGCCAACACAACAUGGCCAUCCAAUCAAUGUCCCUGAUUCCAGGUCAGUUGAAGAGGCCAACACAACAUGGCCAUCCAAUCAAUGUCCCUGAUUCCAGGUCAGUUGAAGAGGCCAACACAACAUGGCCAUCCAAUCAAUGUCCCUGAUUCCAGGUCAGUUGAAGAGGCCAACACAACAUGGCCAUCCAAUCAAUGUCCCUGAUUCCAGGUCAGUUGAAGAGGCCAACACAACAUGGCCAUCCAAUCAAUGUCCCUGAUUCCAGGUCAGUUGAAGAGGCCAACACAACAUGGCCAUCCAAUCAAUGUCCCUGAUUCCAGGUCAGUUGAAGAGGCCAACACAACAUGGCCAUCCAAUCAAUGUCCCUGAUUCCAGGUCAGUUGAAGAGGCAUACACCAAGACAUAAUGGUGGGCAAGCAGAGGAGAUACCAGUGUAGUUUGCUUCGAUGGGAAAUAAACAUUGAUCAGUGCCAAAUGUCCAUUCCCAAUAAG